GUGAGUCAUCGAAUCUUUGAACGCAUAUUGUGCCCCUCUUUACCGGGGGGCAUGCCUGUCUGAGCGUCAUUAAAUCAAUGAAUCCGAAUUGGGAUUUGUGUUGGGCUCUGCAUCCAGAGUGCAUUGCCUAGAGACCAUAGGUCUUAAUUUGUGGACGAGCUCCUCUUGGACUUACCAUGGAUGGACCAUCCCGAAUGAGGCUCUGCCUCUUGUAUUGACCUCAGAUCAGGUAGGAGGACCGCCUGAACUUAAGCAUAUCAAUAAGCGGAGGA
rnacentral:misc_RNA from 1 species